rnacentral:lncRNA from 1 species
AAUUUUAUCAAACACUUAGAGUGCAAGGGAACUAAACAUCACAUGUACCAAAUCAAGCUUGUUAACACAUGAUCAAAGAUAUGUACAACUCUAGUUAAGAUCAAAAGAUUUUGCCCAUAAACAUUCACAAACAAGCAUUUAAAUCAUUUAAGAGAAAUAAACCCACCAAAUCUAGGUUAAAAAAUAGAAUCUUACUUUUGGACCAAGCCAAA